rnacentral:rRNA from 1 species
GUGAACAAUUAAGGGCGCGCGGUGGAUGCCUAGGCUCUCGGAGGCGAAGAAGGACGCGAUAAGCCGCGAUAGGCCACGGCGAGGUGCAAGUAACCCUUGACCCGUGGAUUUCCGAAUGGGGCAACCCGGCCGUCUAGAUGACGGUCAUGCAGUAAUGCAAGCGAACGCGGGGAACUGAAACAUCUCAUUACCCGCAGGAGAAGAAAACAAAAUGUGAUUCCCCCAGUAGUGGCGAGCGAACGGGGAAGAGCCCAAACCGCUGCCGUUUCGGCGACAGCGGGGUCAUGGGACCACGCCAUUCGAAACAAGAUGAAGUGCAAUUACCUGGAAAGGUAAGCCGCGGAGGGUGAUAGCCCCGUGCACGUCAAUUCUUGUGGAGAUAGUGGAAUCCCGAGUAGGGCGGGACACGAGAAAUCCUGCCUGAAUUCGCCAGGACCUCCUGGCAAGGCUAAAUACUCCCGAGAGACCGAUAGUGAACCAGUACCGCGAGGGAAAGGUGAAAAGUACCCCGAGCAGGGGGGUGAAAUAGACCCUGAACCCGCGCGCCUACAAGCGGUCGGAGCCAUGAAAUAUGGUGACGGCGUGCCUUUUGCAUAAUGAGCCUACGAGUUAGUCGUCACCAGCGAGGUUAAGGGCUUCAGGCCCGUUAGCCGAAGUGAAAGCGAGCCUUAACAGGGCGUUAAGUUGGUGGCGCUAGACGCGAAACCUUGUGAUCUACCCACGAGCAGGUUGAAGUCGCGGUAACACGUGAUGGAGGACCGAACCGGUAAACGUUGAAAAGUUUUCGGAUGACUCGCGGGUAGGGGUGAAAGGCCAAUCAAACUGGGAAAUAGCUCGUACUCUCCGAAAUGCAUUUCGGUGCAGCCUGUGAUGUUCUGUUCCAGAGGUAGAGCUACUGGUUGGACGCGAGGGCUUCACCGCCUAUCAAAUCCGGAUAAACUCCGAAUGCUGGAACACGAAAUCAUGGAGUGAGCCCGCGGGUGCUAAGGUCCGCGGACGAGAGGGAAAGAACCCGGACCACCGGCUAAGGUCCCGGAUGGACAGUUAAGUUGAUCAAACGAGGUGGGAUCGCGGAGACAGCUAGGAUGUUGGCUUGGAAGCAGCCAUUCAUUUAAAGAGUGCGUAACAGCUCACUAGUCGAGCGAUCCCGCGUGGAUAAUACACGGGCAUCAAACUGUCAACCGAAGCCGUGGGGUUAGUGAUGAGCUAACCGGUAGGAGAGCAUUCCUGCCAGCUUUGAAGGUCACCCGCGAGAGUGACUGGAGCGGCAUGAAAAGCAAAUGUAGGCAUAAGUAACGAUAAUGGGGGCGAGAACCCCCCACGCCGCAAGACCAAGGAUUCCCCGGCAAUGUCAAUCAGCCGGGGGUCAGCCGGCCUCUAAGGCUCACCCGAAAGGGGAUGCCGACGAGAAACGGGUUAACAUUCCCGUGCUUCUCGUCACCGUGACGCGGUGACGGGGUGAUGAAUGGACCGCGCGCUGACGGAAUAGCGCGUUGAAGGCCGUACCCUAUGACGGUGGUAGUCAAGCACGCCACCGGAGGCGAGAGCCGAUAGUACCACGAGACCCCGGUCGAGUGGAUAGCGUCCAGGCAAUUUACCCCCUAGAAAACCCGCUAAACUUCAAGUGACGAGGAACCGUACUGUAAACGGACACACGUGGUCGGGUAGAACAUACCAAGGCGCUCGAGUGAUUCAUGGUCAAGGAACUAGGCAAAAUAGUCCUGUAACUUCGGGAAAAAGGACGCUCUAGUGAUAGAGCCGCAGAGUAAUGGCCCAGGCGACUGUUUACCAAAAACACAUGGCUAUGCCAAAUCGAAAGAUGACGUAUAUGGCCUGACACCUGCCCGGUGCCGGAAGGUUAAGAGGAGAGCUCAUCGGAAACGAGAAGGUUUGAAUUGAAGCCCCGGUAAACGGCGGCCGUAACUAUAACGGUCCUAAGGUAGCGAAAUUCCUUGUCGGGU